UUGCAGUGCAUUUUCUCAUUACCUGAUUUUGACUGGCCUCAUACAGCUCUUGAGCCGACGUGAUUCACCUUCUUUAGAAGACCUCGUGGGUAGAACUUGGG